GUUGUUGUGGGUGCUGAUGGUUCCCCUAUCUUGGUUUCUUGGAAUGGUGAUUCAAGAAGGGACACCAUCGUGUGGAUGGACCAUAGGGCUCUUGACCAAGUCGAGUGAAUUAAUUCUCACAGUUCACCGGUAUUGCAAUUUUAUGGUGGGAGUGUCUCCCCAGAAUACAGAUAAAUAGUUUUGAAUUAUUUCGUAAGAUCGGUAGACAACAUUUGCUGUGUAUUUUACAGUUACCGGCGUUGAUUGUAUCGUAUUGAUUUACCUUCUAAAACAUUUAUGGGUAAAUGAAAAUCUACAAAAAUCUUGGUUUAUGUUAUAUAGGUGAGUUUCAACUCACAACCUCUCUAAGCCUGUAAUAAGCUAUGAGCUGAAUUUCUAACAAGUUUACUUUCUAACAGCUAAAUUAACUACAGCCCAAAGGCAGCAGCCUGUUACUAUUUUAUAUCAUUUGUUGUUGAUUUGUUUUUUUCAGAAUUGCAUUGGCAAAUCAUGAAAGGUGUAAUGUUCACGGAUUUUUGUUAGAUGGUCUGUUGGUCCGGUUUAAUUUUAGCGAGCAUGAGGCAUCUGGGUACUGUUUAUGAAUUGAUAGCGCACCUUGCUUAAAUCCUACUAACAAUUUUCUCAAGAAUUCAUACUAACAAGUGUCUUUGCUUUUUGUUUGAUGCAUUUAACAUGUUCAGGAAACAUGUUUCAAGGGCCUUGUUUGUGAUCUGGAGCCCACUGUUAGUAGAUUAUGGCAGUAAAUCAUAGUCAGUUUCCUUGUCUACACUUCAUCAUAGCCUCAUAUGUACUAUUAUAUGAUUGUUGCAUUUCAAUUUUUUUUGCAGAUAGGUCAUGUUGUUGGACGAGGGCGGGCUAGCGGAGGGCAUGUCGGCGGACGACGUGGAGGUCGUGUUCGGCUCCAUCGGCCGCAUUGCCGGCAUCGAGUUCGUGCGCACCAGCGGCCCUAGCUUCGCCUACGUCGGCUUCCACUGCCCCUCCCACAAGGUCAUGACGAAGCUCUCCACCGUAAGCAUCCACCGCCCAUCAACAAUCUCAUUGUAACUAUGUUUCUACACUUCGGCAGCACUUGAUAGUAGUAAAUUAGGGUUUUGUUGAUUCUCCACAUUAGCCGUGUGUAUUCAGUAAUUUGAAUGUAGAAUUUUGUGUUAGGUGAGUAGAGCUUUACCAACUUAAUAACAGAGGAUGGUGCUUGCAGUUGUUGUGGGUGCUGAUGGUUCCCCUGUCUUGGUUUCUUGGAAUGGCGAUUCAAGAAGGGGCAUCAUCGUGUGGAUGGACCAUAGGGCUCUUGACCAAGUCGAGUGAAUUAAUUCUCACAGUUCACCGGUAUUGCAAUUUUAUGGUGGGAGUGUCUCCCCAGAAUACAGAUAAAUAGUUUUGAAUUAUUUUGUAAGAUCGGUAGACAACAUUUGCUGUGUAUUUUACAGUUACCGGCGUUGAUUGUAUCGUAUUGAUUUACCUUUUAAAACAUUUAUGGGUAAAGGAAAAUCUACAAAAAUCUUGGUUUAUGUUAUAUAGGUGAGUUUCAACUCACAACCUCUCUAAGCUUGUAAUAAGCUAUGAGCU
rnacentral:lncRNA from 1 species